rnacentral:misc_RNA from 1 species
GUUGACUAAGGAUUUUACUAAGGCACGGGAUUUAAGCAUCGAGGGUUUCAAGGUGUUGAAGUAGAAGUAAUCGGGUUGUUGAAGGAAUUGAAGCUGCCAUUGUUGUUGAGCGGAGAUUAUGGAUUUCGGGCAUGACCCGAAACUGCCGUUGUUGAUUCGGGCUAUGGUGAGGUCGUGGUGUGAGAACUCCGCCGCGAUUUCGGUUUCGGUGAUGGCUUUUGCGGUGGUUGAUGGACCAUUUUCACGGCGGAAGUCACCGGAAGACAUGGUGAG